rnacentral:rRNA from 1 species
CAGCAGUAGCCGCGGUAAUACGAGGGGGGCAAGCGUUGUUCGGAAUUAUUGGGCGUAAAGGGUGCGUAGGCGGUUUGGCAAGUCUUGUGUGAAAUCUUCGGGCUCAACCCGAAGCCUGCACGAGAAACUGCCGGGCUUGAGUAUUGGAGAGGUGAGUGGAAUUUCCGGUGUAGCGGUGAAAUGCGUAGAUAUCGGAAGGAACACCUGUGGCGAAAGCGGCUCACUGGACAAUAACUGACGCUGAUGCACGAAAGCUAGGGGAGCAAACAGGAUUAGAUACCCCAGUAGUCCCUGUCUCUUAUAC